GGACCAAGAGGGCGAUGUGGCUGCAACAUGUCACUCCAGUGAUUGAUUCAGCUGAUCUGACUGGCUAGGCAGGUGUCCCUUUUCCCCCUCACCAUCCAUGUGUGUCCCUCCCCAAAUCCUUAUGCUUGAUCAAAGAGGAUGGUUUUCCCAAAAUAGUGAAUACUCUUUGGUUGAGGGAAUAUGAGAGCUCCCUGCCUGAACCUCCAAACAAAUUCCCAAUUUUAGAGCUGAGAACUAGAAGACUUCAGUUAAUCACUUGCCUUGGGAUAUAUU
rnacentral:snRNA from 1 species